rnacentral:rRNA from 1 species
UACGUAGGGUGCAAGCGUUACUCGGAAUUACUAGGCGUAAAGCGCGUGUAGGCGGGUUCCUAAGUCUAUCGUGAAAUUUCACAGCUCAACUGUGAAAGGUCGAUAGAUACUGGGAAUCUAGAGUGAGGCAGGGGGAACCGGAAUUCCCGGUGUAGCGGUGAAAUGCGUAGAUAUCGGGAGGAACGCCGAAGGCGAAAGCGGGUUCCUGGGCCUAUACUGACGCUGAGACGCGAAAGCUAGGGGAGCAAACAGG